GAUGAACGCUAGCGGCAGGCUUAAUACAUGCAAGUCGUGGGGCAGCAGGGGUAGCAAUACCCGCUGGCGACCGGCAAACGGGUGCGCAAUACGUACGCAACCUUCCUUUAAGGGGGGAAUAGCCCAGGGAAACUUGGAUUAAUACCCCAUAGUAUGAUGAAGAGGCAUCUCUUUAUUAUUAAAGCUCCGGCACUUAAAGA
rnacentral:rRNA from 1 species